rnacentral:rRNA from 1 species
ACAUGCAAGUCGAACGAAAAAGUGAUUAGUUUACUAGGAUCUUUUUAGUGGCGGACGGGUUAGUAACACGUGAGUAACUUGCCUCAAAGUGGGGGAUAGUCCUGGGAAACUGGGUUUAAUACCGCAUACGACCUUCGGGUUAAAGCUAGCUUCGGCUGGUGCUUUGAGAUAGGCUCGCGUCCUAUCAGCUAGUUGGUGAGGUAAAAGCUCACCAAGGCGACGACGGGUAGUUGGUCUGAGAGGACGAUCAGCAACACUGGAACUGAGACACGGUCCAGACACCUACGGGUGGCAGCAGUCGAGAAUCAUUCACAAUGGGGGCAACCCUGAUGGUGCAACGCCGCGUGGAGGAUGAAGGACCUAGGUUCGUAAACUCCUGUCAUAAUAGAGUAAGACAUAAUCGUUAAUAGCUUUUAUGUUUGAUAGUAUAUUAAGAGGAAGGGACGGCUAACUUCGUGCCAGCAGCCGCGGUAAUACGAAGGUCCCGAGCGUUAUUCGGAAUAACUGGGCGUAAAGGGAGCGUAGGCGGCUUGGUAAGUCAGAUGUGAAAGCCCAGGGCUCAACCCUGGAACUGCAUUCGAUACUGCCAGGCUAGAGUAAUGGAGAGGUAAGCGGAAUUUUCGGUGUAGCAGUGAAAUGCGUAGAUAUCGAAAGGAAGACCAAUGGCGAAGGCAGCUUACUGGACAUUUACUGACGCUGAGGCUCGAAGGCUAGGGUAGCGAAAGGGAUUAGAUACCCCUGUAGUCCUAGCAGUAAACGAUGUGCGCUUGGUGUGGGGAGGUUCGACCCUCUCUGUGCCGGAGCUAACGCGUUAAGCACCCCGCCUGGGGAGUACGGCCGCAAGGC